CAGCAGCCACGGUAAUACGUAGGUGGCAAGCGUUGUCCGGAAUUAUUGGGCGUAAAGGGCUCGCAGGCGGUUUCUUAAGUCUGAUGUGAAAGCCCCCGGCUCAACCGGGGAGGGUCAUUGGAAACUGGGAAACUUGAGUGCAGAAGAGGAGAGUGGAAUUCCACGUGUAGCGGUGAAAUGCGUAGAGAUGUGGAGGAACACCAGUGGCGAAGGCGACUCUCUGGUCUGUAACUGGCGCUGAGGAGCGAAAGCGUGGGGAGCGAACAGGAUUAGAUACCCCUGUAGUCCCUGUCUCUUAUAC
rnacentral:rRNA from 1 species